rnacentral:rRNA from 1 species
UGAGGAAUAUUGGUCAAUGGGCGCAAGCCUGAACCAGCCAUGCCGCGUGCAGGAAGAAUGCCCUAUGGGUUGUAAACUGCUUUUAUUUGGGAAUAAACCUUUCUACGUGUAGGAAGCUGAAGGUACCAAAUGAAUAAGCACCGGCUAACUCCGUGCCAGCAGCCGCGGUAAUACGGAGGGUGCAAGCGUUAUCCGGAAUCAUUGGGUUUAAAGGGUCCGCAGGCGGAUUUAUAAGUCAGUGGUGAAAGCCUACAGCUUAACUGUAGAACUGCCAUUGAUACUGUAAGUCUUGAAUUCGGUCGAAGUGGGCGGAAUGUGUAGUGUAGCGGUGAAAUGCAUAGAUAUUACACAGAACACCGAUAGCGAAGGCAGCUCACUAGGCCUGGAUUGACGCUCAGGGACGAAAGCGUGGGGAUCAAACAGGAUUAGAUACCCUGGUAGUCCACGCUGUAAACGAUGAUUACUCGUUUUCGGCGAUAUACGGUCGGAGACUAAGCGAAAGUGAUAAGUAAUCCACCUGGGGAGUACGAUCGCAAGGUUG